rnacentral:rRNA from 1 species
UACGGAGGAUCCAAGCGUUAUCCGGAAUCAUUGGGUUUAAAGGGUCCGUAGGCGGUUUUGUAAGUCAGUGGUGAAAGCCCAUCGCUCAACGGUGGAGCGGCCAUUGAUACUGCAAGACUUGAAUUAUUGGGAAGUAACUAGAAUAUGUAGUGUAGCGGUGAAAUGCUUAGAGAUUACAUGGAAUACCAAUUGCGAAGGCAGGUUACUACUAAUAUAUUGACGCUGAUGGACGAAAGCGUGGGGAGCGAACAGG